CUGGGCCCCGCGGCGCGCAGACGCGUGAACCCGACACUGCGGCAUCUGAGGGGUGCAUGUUCUGAUGCUGCAGCCUAGGGGGAUGCAGAAGCCCGGAGAAGGGGCCUCAGCUUCCCCGCGGGGAGCCCUUCUGACCCUAGCCAGCUGGAGGCCCAGGAACGGACCUGAGCUGGAGGAGACGUUGUGGGCCCUUCGGACUGAGAAUCGAUUCGUCGCUGCAAAAGAUUCCCAAAAAGAAAGCAGAGGUUGAGGGCCAUGCUGAUACUGCAAGAUGAGCAGAAAGGCAGAGCUGUCCCCUCCAUCUCAAGUAGGAGCUUCUUGUUAGCCACACUUCCCUGCGAACCCAGUGACCGGCUCAUCAGACCUGACUAUCCAGCCACUUCGCACAUACAAGGAUUGCUUUGGCUGCUGCAUGGAGAGAAGGCUGAAGGGGAGCCGAGCAGGUAGGAAGCCACGUCCCAAUCCAGGUAAGAGCCGCGGGUGGAGCAGGGCACGGCCCCUGGAGGCUGUGAGGAAUGGCUGGACCCUGGGUGUCUUCUGAAGGGUGUGCUGCAGGAUUCGCUGGAGAGUCUGAGGUGGGGAGUGGGAGGAGAGGAGUUGGAGAUGGCUCCAAAGCUGCUGGCCUGAACCCCUGGAGCUGCCGUUUCCUGGGAUGGGGAAGGCGGGGAGGAAGCAUGUUCUGUUGGAGAGGAGGGAGCCCACGCUACGCAGGGAUGUCUGGGAGACGUCCAGGUGGAGAUGUUGAGAAUUGGCCUUGGCCGUGCCGGUGUGGAGCUCAGGGGAGAGGUCUGUCCUGUAGCUGUCCGAGUUGCCAGUGCAUAGGUGGUAUUUAAAGCUGUGAACUAUGAGAAGCAGAAGGCUGGGGCUGGCCAACUUUUGGAGGCUGGAGAGCUGAGGAGAGAACAGGAAGGGAUAUUUUUGGUGAAUG
rnacentral:lncRNA from 1 species